rnacentral:rRNA from 1 species
GACAGAGGGUGCAAACGUUGUUCGGAUUUACUGGGCGUAAAGCGCGUGUAGGCGGCUUGGCAAGUUGAAUGUGAAAGCCCACGGCUCAACCGUGGAAGCGCAUCCAAAACUGCUUCGCUUGAGUCUCGGAGAGGGAGGUGGAAUGCUUGGUGUAGAGGUGAAAUUCGUAGAUAUCAAGCAGAACACCUGCGGCGAAGGCGGCCUUCUGGACGAUGACUGACGCUGAGACGCGAAAGCGUGGGGAGCAAACCGG